rnacentral:rRNA from 1 species
AGAGUUUGAUCCUGGCUCAGAUUGAACGCUGGCGGCAUGCUUUACACAUGCAAGUCGAACGGCAGCACGGGUGCUUGCACCUGGUGGCGAGUGGCGAACGGGUGAGUAAUGCACCGGAACGUACCCAGUAAUGGGGGAUAACACAUCGAAAGAUGUGCUAAUACCGCAUACGCCCUGAGAGGGAAAGCGGGGGAUCGUAAGACCUCGCGUUAUUGGAGCGGCCGAUGCCGGAUUAGCUAGUUGGUGAGGUAAGAGCUCACCAAGGCGACGAUCCGUAGCUGGUCUGAGAGGACGACCAGCCACACUGGGACUGAGACACGGCCCAGACUCCUACGGGAGGCAGCAGUGGGGAAUUUUGGACAAUGGGCGCAAGCCUGAUCCAGCCAUGCCGCGUGAGUGAAGAAGGCCUUCGGGUUGUAAAGCUCUUUCGCAAGGAAAGAAAACUUAUCUACUAA